UUUUGUUUGUGAGCUUCUAUAUGUGGAAGGAGGACUUAUUAAAACAGAUGGAAGAGAGAGAAAGGGAAAGAAUCAGAAAAAAAUAAAAGGAAAGAGAGAGAGCACGGGUAGAAACCCGAGUCACCCCCCUCCCAUUUUCUUUUUUUUCUUCUUCCGUCGCUGCUCUUUCCUUCUCCGGCGAAUUCGUCGCCGUCCGGCCACCCCAAGACGCAUCGUUGGGCACGGCGUGAUCCUCUCUUCCUUCUCCUUCUAGCUAUCUUGUCUUGAGCUGUGGAGGAAGAAUUCAAGGUGAUUGGGGACGUGAACAGUAGCGUGAACAGUUCCAUCCGAGUUCUUGAGUUUGGGUUUGGAAUUCCAGCUUUUUCUGCUUGUUUUUGGAGAUUUCUGCUGGUUUUCUUUGAAGUUUUGGGUUGCUGGGUUGUUGUUGAUGAUCAUAUCUAACUAUUGCAGCUUGUGUUGGCCGGUGGAGGAAGAUUUGAGAGUAUUUGGAGACGUGAACAGUAUUAUGAACAGUGCUGCGAGUUCUUGAUAUUUUUUUGGGUAUAAAUUCGGCUAUUUCUGCUUGCUUUUGGUGGCUGCUGCAGGUAUAGAAAUGGUUGUGUGGGUUAUGAAGUUGAUUUUGGAAUAAAUAGGUUGAUUGGAAUUGAAUUUACUCUUUAAGUGUGUGUUAAACUUGAGGUUUGUUUGAUAUUGAGUUUUCUUUGGUUGUGAUGUUGAACAUGGUUGAUGGAUUUGUCAUGUUUGUAGUGUUGGGUGAAAAUUCUUGGUAAAGGGCUAUUAUUAAUUAUUUGUUAGGAAGUAGAGAGAAUUUGAGAUUGUUAGAGUGGAAUUUGUGAUUUUGCAAAGGAGAGAAAAAUUAAGAAAGAAUGUGGAAUUGUUCUAUUUUGUGGAGGAGUUUGGAGUGGAGAUUGUGUUUUGGAAAAGAAAAUCUAGAGAGGAGUUGAAAUUUAGAGAUGGAAUUGUGAGUGGAAAUAAGGAAGAUUAAGAAUGAAUUUGGAAAUUUUGGAAAGGAUUUUUAUGAUAAAUUGGUGGUAUUUUUGUGAUGAAGGAAGUGAGAUUAAAUUGAUUUAGUUAUCGAACGGUCCUUGUGAAGAUUUAAAUUAAGUGAAGUCAUUGAAUGGUUAAGGAAUCGAUUGAGUGGUUAUGAGUUAGAGGGCUUUGACAUCGUAAGGAAUUAUAGAAUUUAAUUCCGAAUAGAAGUGUGGAAUUUUAUAAUAAUUUGUGAUUAAUAGACGCUUAUUCCGAGGGGAAUGGGUUGUUUUGAGAGUAUUUCAUUGUAUGGUCAAUUAUAUCCUAUUCUAUUGUGACAGGACGUACUGAGCCCUCGAGCGAGGAGGACACAGACAGGCAGCAGGGUUAGCUGCGGGAUUUACUUGUGAGUGGACUUUUAUUUUGUUAAAAUAAUGCAUGCAGCUUGGAAAUAAGUUUACAGUUGAUUUAUUAUUUGAGGAAAUGUGACUAUGGAAAGAAAAGGAUUAAAAAGGAAACAGUUGACAAGGAGGCCAGUUUGGCGCAUGCGUAUCUUACCUAGUUGGCAGUCCCUUCUAGGUAAUAGUCUGGUUG